GCCCCAGUGGCGCAACUGGAUAGCGCGCUGCCCUCCGAAGGCAGAGGUUACUGGUUCGAAUCCAGUCUGGGGUA
rnacentral:tRNA from 1 species